AUUAUUUUUUUCUCUUCUGUUUUAGCCCAUGUUAUAACCUGGACAGGCAACUACUGAUUCUUAAUGUCUGGCCACUGAUUUUUAAGUGCUUAAAUAUUCAAAAGUUUGUUAAGCAUAUUAUUUAAUAUUCACUUAUUAUUCAAGUGGUUGUUGUUUAUAUUAAGUGAGUCAAUCCCUAGUGUCGUCCACCCACUUUUUUUGAAAAUUGCUGCUGACAGCCUUUUUUGUCUGAGUAAGUUGUAUUUGCCCCUGCAGACUCUGCUCAGACUUUUCCCAGGCUGGUCAGGAGAGUCCUCUUCUGAUCCAGUCUAUUUCUCUUCUUAUCAAAUUAUUAAAAUUUCUGCUAAAGUGUACAUAACCCUCUAUAGGAUAUGAGCCCAUUUACGUUUCUUAUUUAUCUUGCGUCCUCUGUAUUUAACUCAGUGCAGGGAAUUUCAGCACUGAAAUGUCUGUGGAAUUAGGAUUUAAUAAGCAAUGGUUUUAUUGGCUAGGAAAUAGCGGCAAACAAAGGUGAGCCUCCAGAGGUGUAACUUCCCUAUCCAAACUUUCUCUGUGGGGACUGAGAACCUAGGAAGGGAAUGAGUCACCUCCUUUUAC
rnacentral:lncRNA from 1 species